rnacentral:rRNA from 1 species
CACGUAGGGGGCGAGCGUUGUCCGGAUUCAUUGGGCGUAAAGGGCGCGCAGGCGGCCCGGAAAGUCGGAUGUGAAAACUCGAGGCUCAACCUCGAGCGUGCACCCGAUACUGCCGGGCUUGAGGCAGGUAGGGGAGAUCGGAAUUCCUGGUGUAGCGGUGAAAUGCGCAGAUAUCAGGAGGAACACCGGUGGCGAAGGCGGAUCUCUGGGCCUGUCCUGACGCUGAGGCGCGAAAGCGUGGGGAGCAAACAGG